GGAAAACUUGCGGUUAUUCUCGCUUCUAUACCCGUGCCAAUUGUGGCAGCCCUGUAUAUCGUCUUCUUUCCUUACGUGGUUACAAGUGGACUUGAAGAUAUCCAUUACUGCAAUUUGAAUAGAUUCAGGACAAGGUUCAUUCUUGGAUUUGCUCUCUUCAUGGGUCUCUCCAUGAAUCAGUACUUCAAUACAUAUGAUGUAUUUUCUGGUCAGCCCCUUCCUAAUGCUAGCUCCUCCUGGUUCAAAAAUUUAAUGCAAGUGAUUUUCUCAUCCCCACCAACAACUGCAACUAUUUUUGCUUCCCUUUUUGAUCUUAUCCUUCCUAGACCCUCCGAUGAAGAAGGAGAGGAGAAACAAGAAGAGGUGAAAAAAAAAGAGGGGGAGCCGCCACCAAAACAGAA